GAAGGGAGAGAAGUUUGCAGCACAAGGGCCAGUCAUCAUUCUCAUCAUGUUAUCAAGAGCACAAACGAAACAAUCUUAGAUGAAACCUACAAGAUUAAAGGUUAAAACGUGGGCUUCGAAUCUUGAAAGCGUCCUUUUCCAAACAACAAUUUAAGGGAGAUUUUCUAAGGUAAAAAUGGCAGGUACAAACACAGUCCAGCCUUUGCUGAAUAGAACCAAGGACGAGGGAGACACCUUUCAGCCUUGACCAGAUGGAAAAUCUUUUCCACUUAGCAAGGCUGAGCAUGUUGAAAGCGGAUCAGAUUAUGCAGAUUCUGGACACCACCUGCAACCUGGACUAACUUCUUAUCAUCCAGUCAUCCAGAUAAGGGAAUACAUGGACCACUCCCCCCAUCUCCAGAGGAAAAGCUGCUACCUCCAC